UACGUAGGGUCCGAGCGUUGUCCGGAAUUACUGGGCGUAAAGAGCUCGUAGGUGGUUUGUCGCGUUGUUCGUGAAAACUCACAGCUUAACUGUGGGCGUGCGGGCGAUACGGGCAGACUGGAGUACUGCAGGGGAGACUGGAAUUCCUGGUGUAGCGGUGGAAUGCGCAGAUAUCAGGAGGAACACCGGUGGCGAAGGCGGGUCUCUGGGCAGUAACUGACGCUGAGGAGCGAAAGCGUUGGGAGCGAACAGG
rnacentral:rRNA from 1 species